GACGAACGCUGGCGGCGUGCUUAACACAUGCAAGUCGAACGGAAAGGCCCUGCUUUUGUGGGGUGCUCGAGUGGCGAACGGGUGAGUAACACGUGAGUAACCUGCCCUUGACUUUGGGAUAACUUCAGGAAACUGGGGCUAAUACCGGAUAGGAGCUCCUGCUGCAUGGUGGGGGUUGGAAAGUUUCGGCGGUUGGGGAUGGACUCGCGGCUUAUCAGCUUGUUGGUGGGGUAGUGGCUUACCAAGGCUUUGACGGGUAGCCGGCCUGAGAGGAUGACCGGCCACAUUGGGACUGAGAUACGGCCCAGACUCCUACGGGAGGCAGCAGUGGGGAAUAUUGCACAAUGGGCGGAAGCCUGAUGCAGCAACGCCGCGUGCGGGAUGACGGCCUUCGGGUUGUAAACCGCUUUCGCCUGUGACGAAGCGUGAGUGACGGUAAUGGGUAAAGAAGCACCGGCUAACUACGUGCCAGCAGCCGCGGUGAUACGUAGGGUGCGAGCGUUGUCCGGAUUUAUUGGGCGUAAAGGGCUCGUAGGUGGUUGAUCGCGUCGGAAGUGUAAUCUUGGGGCUUAACCCUGAGCGUGCUUUCGAUACGGGUUGACUUGAGGAAGGUAGGGGAGAAUGGAAUUCCUGGUGGAGCGGUGGAAUGCGCAGAUAUCAGGAGGAACACCAGUGGCGAAGGCGGUUCUCUGGGCCUUUCCUGACGCUGAGGAGCGAAAGCGUGGGGAGCGAACAGGCUUAGAUACCCUGGUAGUCCACGCUGUAAACGGUGGGUACUAGGUGUGGGGUCCAUUCCACGGGUUCCGUGCCGUAGCUAACGCUUUAAGUACCCCGCCUGGGGAGUACGGCCGCAAGGCUAAAACUCAAAGGAAUUGACGGGGCCCCGCACAAGCGGCGGAGCAUGCGGAUUAAUUCGAUGCAACGCGUAGAACCUUACCUGGGUUUGACAUGGAUCGGGAGCGCUCAGAGAUGGGUGUGCCUCUUUUGGGGUCGGUUCACAGGUGGUGCAUGGCUGUCGUCAGCUCGUGUCGUGAGAUGUUGGGUUAAGUCCCGCAACGAGCGCAACCCUUGUUCACUGUUGCCAGCACGUUAUGGUGGGGACUCAGUGGAGACCGCCGGGGUCAACUCGGAGGAAGGUGGGGAUGACGUCAAGUCAUCAUGCCCCUUAUGUCCAGGGCUUCACGCAUGCUACAAUGGCUGGUACAGAGAGUGGCGAGCCUGUGAGGGUGAGCGAAUCUCGGAAAGCCGGUCUCAGUUCGGAUUGGGGUCUGCAACUCGACCUCAUGAAGUCGGAGUCGCUAGUAAUCGCAGAUCAGCAACGCUGCGGUGAAUACGUUCCCGGG
rnacentral:rRNA from 1 species